GUUUUUAACCCUGAAUGGGACGAGAACAGUGGCUGACUAUUGGCUUAUUUUCUCCCCCUGUUCGCCCAAAAUAACUCUCUGUACAUUAAAAUCUCAGGUCAAACAAGGAAACUAAGUGGCCGGAGUGGAAUCUGACCCUGAAAUACCCGUUGGAAACCCUAAAAAGUGAAGAUACGAGGGUGAAAUCUGGACUCUUUGCCCCAGGACGUGUAAUAUCUUCGUCUUUCCCUAGUUUUGUGUUCCUCGUCCACCUCCUCCUGUCCUGAGCCGCCUCCCACCCGUCACUCCACAGACGAACUUUGACCAAAUAAAGACAAAGUGAAAAUUAAGACGAAAAAUAAA